rnacentral:lncRNA from 1 species
ACCAGGCCUGCCUGUGUGGCCCAGCCUGGCUGGCAUUCAAGUGAAUAACAUCAUCUCCAUCUCACUGCACAGAAGUAUGAACUGCGGUGUCAGCAGGUUUCCAUGACACCACCGGUGAUGUAGAGCACACAUCUCUCCCACACUCUGCUGGUUACCAGGCCCUGGCAGUACAGACCGGGCCUCCUGGGUUGCCUUCCUCCUUCCGGCUCACGGGUUCCUCUUCACUCCCAUGCUCUGCUCCCCAGACCUCUGGCCCAGAAGGAGUGACCCAGAGCCUGAGGCAGGAGAAAUUUCGAGGUGGAGACUGGAGCUGAGGAUGAGGCCCAGGCCCAGCUAGAGAGAAAACACUGAGAAAGGACUGAGGCCCCCACAUGCUGGAAUCUUGUGGAAAGAGGUGAAGGCAAAGCUGGGGAUGAGAGAGAGAAGAGGGAGCAGGAGAUUAGCGAGGAAAUAAGGUGGGGAAACAGCUGGGAAGACAGACAUGCAUCUGGAAGAUUCCAGAAAAGGCCAUUUCAUCCAGCCCUGCUCCAGCAGUUUGUAUUUCAGCAGCCUCACGGGACACCUGGCCUUUCCUUUCUGACAUCGUUCUCCAUCCAUCCAGCACCUCUUGGAGAUCACAAGGGGCUCUCCACAUGAGACUUUUGAAACUAAGAAACAGAUUUGGGUGUUGCACGUGUUUUUCCUGACUCCUGCUCCCACCCCCGUUCAUAUCUUAAAAUGAUUAGGGCAGAAAAGGGUGGGGGAGUUGGAAUAGACUCUACUUCCUGCCUCUCUGAUUUUACAAUUAGAUUAACAGGGCAUAAGGCCUUUACCUCUACAACUGGAUGAUUUAUAGUUUUAUAUAUAUGUCAAUGUAGAAGGAGAGAUAAUACAAGGCUAAAACUCACUUGUCCUGUAAACAAGUGAAGACAAGCCAGUCUUUGAGAUGAAAGCCUGCAGGUGCUAGCCAAAAGAGAAGGGUGGGGAGGACAGGUAAACUUUUCCUACCUUACAAUUUUGUUUUUACUCACAUAUGCCCAAUAGAAGCUGUGUGUAAUGCAAGCAAAAAAAUGAAUGACUUUCUACCAA